GACGAACGCUGGCGGCGUGCUUAACACAUGCAAGUCGAACGGUGAAGCCCUUCGGGGUGGCUCAGUGGCGAACGGGUGAGUAACACGUGAGCAACCUGCCCCUGGCUCUGGGACAACCACUGGAAACGGUGGCUAAUACCGGAUACGACCCGCCUCGGCAUCGAGUGUGGGUGGAAAGUUUUUCGGCUGGGGAUGGGCUCGCGGCCUAUCAGCUUGUUGGUGAGGUGAAGGCUCACCAAGGCGACGACGGGUAGCCGGCCUGAGAGGGCGACCGGCCACACUGGGACUGAGACACGGCCCAGACUCCUACGGGAGGCAGCAGUGGGGAAUAUUGCACAAUGGGCGAAAGCCUGAUGCUGCGACGCCGCGUGAGGGAUGACGGCCUUCGGGUUGUAAACCUCUUUCAGCUCCGAAGAAGCGAAAGUGACGGUAGGAGCAGAAGAAGCACCGGCUAACUACGUG
rnacentral:rRNA from 1 species